UUAAAAGAUGUCUAGAAGGGAUCUUUAACAAUUAGAACUUUAAGAUAUACAGAAGGCCUAGAUGUAAAAUAUCAUGUACCCCUUCACUACCACAGCAUAUCUGUGGGCAUUAAUAAAUCCAACAGAUGCACAAGCUUGUGAAAGUAAAUAAUAACUUCAAUGUCUCUAAUUAGUAUAAAUCUUUAGGGUUAUCAUGAUUGAUGAUCCUGUGUUGUUCUCUUAGUUCGAACUCCCUUGAAACGUGCAGGAUGCAGAGGUUCAGAGCUUGGGAAUCCCCCCAUGAAAGUUCUGUGAUGAUGUCUCCUGCAUCACAUGACGCCCAUAAAGCAUGCUCAGUCUCCCGCGAGGUGUGGGUGUCUGACCAUACAGCGGCGCACAAUCAUUAUGCAGCCUGUCUGAUAGGAAACAAAGCAUGCAACGGUGUAGACCGCACGUCGGAUACCACAAAUAUGUUCCUGUAGGCUGUGCAGCCGUUUGCACACGCGUUCAGGAAGCUGAUGCAAGACUCAUAGACAAGAUAUUUUUGGACCCGGAGAAUUAGCCCUGAAAUGAAUCAUCUAGUGAUAAUGAAACGAAAACAUGUGAUCACAUAAUUAGGGAUCGAUUCGACUCCUGAUUUAGACAUGGCCCUACUGGAAACCCAGCAAUGGUCCUUUGGGGACCCUCCCUGUGUGAGAACCCUCCUCUGCCAUGCAGGGGGAAACGCUGUAGCCCCCAGCUUCCCAGCUGCUGCCUCAGGGUCAUCAAACACUGCAGCAUUAAACUACCAACAGCGAAGACAAAGACGUAUGGAGAGGCUGCCUUCUCUUACUAUGGCCCAAAACUGUGGAACAACCUGCCCAGAAAUAUCCACUAUGCACCUUCUGUAAAAUUCCACCUGAAAUUAAAUUGCAUUGCAUUUCGGAUAUUUAACAAUACAUUUAAAAACACGCUGACAUUGUUUUUGACAACAAAAAGGGAUGACUAAAUUUUAUUUCAGUUGGACUUUAAGAAACAUCUUCAAACCCUCCUUUUUAAUCUUGCCUUUAAAUAGUCUGUAUCCUGGUUUUUAUUGAAUCUUACUGCAAGUUUAUUUUUUAUUCCUAUAAUUCUACCCUGUUUAAUUGUAAUAUAUAUAUUCCCAUUUCAAAUUUCAAAUUUCAAGCCAUGCUAGCAGCAUGGCUCUAUGGAGGGCGAUGUUGGUCUGUCGGUCCACCACUUUAGUCCAGACUGAAACAUCUCAACAACUAUUGGAUGGAUUGGCAUUAAAUUUGGUACAGAUAUUCGUGGUCCCUCGAUGAUGAUUUGUACUGACUUUGGUGAUCACCUGACACUUUUGGCUUUUAGUGAAUGUCUUGACAACUCUUAAAUGGUUUGCCAUGAAAUUUGGAAGAGAUAUCCAUGUUGCCCAGAGGAUGAAUCCUGACGACUUUGAUGAUCCCCUGACUUUUCCUCUAGCGUUGCCAUGAGGUUAUCAUUUGUGAUUUUGAGUGAAAUUUCUCAACAAGUAUUGGAUGGAUGGCCUUUAAAUUUGGUAAAGACAUUUAUUUCCCCUUUAGGAAGACGUGUAAACACUUUGGUGAUGCCCUGACUUUCAAUCUAGUGCCAUCAUCAGGUCCAAAUUUUAUUUGUCCUUGACGACCAGAUACCUGCAAAAGCCUCAGCUGUAAUUUGUGUAUAGUGCUAAUUAGCAAAUGUCAGCCCGCUACAAGCUAAACUAAGAUGGUGAACAUUGUCAUUGUGAGCAUGUUAGCAUACUUAUAUCAGCAUUUAGCUCAAAGCUCCGCUGUGCUUUAGUAUUCAGAUCCUUCAUUUUAGUUACAAUUUACAAUACUAUAGUGUAAAAGUCCUGCAUUCACAGUUAACUUGAGUAAAAGUACACAAGUAUUGCGAAAUCUACUUCAGUUUGGUUACUUUGCAGAUUCAGAUUUUACACACAAAACAUUUGAUCAACAAACGAAAUAUGAUGCAGUGUUAUCCAAAGAGAAAGAGAGAGUGAGAGAGAGAGAUUAAACUAUCCAGCAGUAUAGGAAGUAGUUAAAAUAGCUCCACCUGAACAGACUUAGUAUAUUUAAAUAUAUUGGGCUCAUAAUAGUAAAAUAUUGAGUUAAGGCCUUUUACUUUGAAAAGAGAUUUGUUUACAUUGUGGCAUAAUUUUUUUCCCUUCUACCACUGCCAAUACCCACGUUCUGAAUUAGAUAAAAGGUACUGUAAAAAUAAGGCACACUGCCUGAGUUUGCCUGGGGGCCCAAAUAACUAAAUCCACCCAUGUUCUUGUCCAUCCAUAUUAUUUCUGAAACUAACAAAGUUUUGAACCAGACAUAGAGCCGCGUUACUGCUGAAAAUAUUAACGACAUAUACGGUAUAUUGUAAAAAGGCUGAAUCUACAAAUAUCAAAGAGGUUCAUUCUCCUUUAAACCCAUUCAAGAGGUGAUAUUGUUUACAACAUAUGUUAUUCACCUUCUCCUCCUGCUACUUGUUUUUGGCAUUAAUCACCCCCUAUACUUAAGAUUUACUGAAUUCAGAGGAGAUCCUCUUGACCAAUGAUGUUCAACUCUUGUGGUGCUAUCAGCUCUGGACCAAUUGCUGUGCUGAAGAGUCAAGCUGAACCAGCAGUCGGCUGACAAGUUACCACUAUGACUGAUAAGUAGCUUUGUGGUUUGGCCAUGACCUUUACAAAGUUCAAAAUACAGGAUUCAAAUAUGUGUCACUGGCCGUGCAGCCUGUAAAAUAUAUGAGAAUAUGGGUAAUAAUCAGCAAACAUAAGUAGAAUAUAUGUAUAAAAAAUAGAAGGUAAGUAAAUAAAAGGAUUUAAAUUUUCCAAACUCAGACACAAAAAGCUUGCCUCAAAAUCUCAUCCGUAUCAUAUAGUCAUACAUCACACAAUAAGUUUAUCAGAGCAUCGAAGCAUUGUGUUCCUCACUGAACUUCAAUACAUUAUACAUAACAUAUUAUUAUCAAAACAGAGUCUGCAGUCAUCAUUUCCUGAAGAUUAUACAAAUAGCAACAAGAAGAAAAUGUCAUCAAUGCAGAAGUCAGAAUUUUAAAUAAGUAAGAAACUAUAAUUUCAUUUCUUGACUGAUACUGUAUUACUGUUAAUAUAGCCUACAUAAUGAAGACAAUAGUCUGACUUUACACUGCUGUAUUUCCUACAUUUAUGCAAGACAAAACAAUGAUUGUGACUGUUCUUCACUGCAUCAGUUUACCCACCACAGACUUUGUGUUUAUGCAGCAGUAUGAAGUGUUUUGAAAAGGUAAACUGAGAAAUGUGUAUCAUCAUUUGUAUUCAAGACACCAAUCAUUUAAUCAUUUGUAAGUUACAGUAAGCUAUAUUACUACUGUGAGGCUGUGAAGUGUAAAUUAAUCAACCACAAUUAACGAUUGUCACAGCCUGUCAUGUCCUCACCAGCCAGCAAUCACCCACACCUGCUCCCCGUCAAUCCCAAUCACAGCCAGUAUAUAACCACUCCACUCUCCUCACUCAGUGUCCGACCUCGUUUACGUACAGGACUCCAGAUAGCCGAGAACUACAGUGCUCUUUCUGAUCGUUUCCAGUGUUUCUCCAGUUUCCCCGUGUGUUUUCCAGUCAUCCGUGUCAUCGCCAGUCCUCGGUGGCUUCUCCAUUCCUCCUUGGUCUCUCCAGUCUCCUGUGGCUUACCUCCGGUGACUUCUCCAGAUCCACUCUACCUAUCUUCACACUCUCCACUUCUGGCUGUCGUCUAAUAAAAGAUACUCCCACCAUCUCGGUGUCCCCUGCCUGUUAUUCUGUAACAACGAUACAGGACUGCACAAUUAGUAUGACCAUGUACUAAAGUAGACCUAAACGAUGUGUUUUGCUUUGAUUUACAGUUAAAAUAAGAAUUUAUCACAAAAAGUAAUGGGAGGGUUGCAGAUUGAUAUAGGUCAUUUAUAAAAAAAUUCUGGUUUUCCAUAUUGAAAAAUGUCUGUGUUACUGCUUACUGCUAAGGUUACACACAUUAAAAAUGAAAUUAUGUAGAGUAAGAUUGAAGAUUGUGUUUAAAGGUAAGGAUUUAACAGUUUGGCUCUUUGCAUGAAGAUUUUUGUACAUUGAAACUCUGUUGGUAAAAUUAUGCCAAAUAAAUAUAAUUUGGAAUUGA